UGCAACUGCAAGGAAUGUAAACCUGGGGAC
rnacentral:piRNA from 1 species